CUUCCAGUAGCACCUUAGAGACCAACUAAGUUUGUUAUUGGUAUGAGCUUUCAUGUGGAUGCACACAAAAGCUCAUACUAAUAACAAACUUAGUUGGUCUCUAAGGUGCUACUGGAAG